GAUGAACGCUGGCGGCGUGCCUAAUACAUGCAAGUCGAGCGAACAGACGAGGAGCUUACUCCUCUGACGUUAGCGGCUGACGGGUGAGUAACACGUGGAUAACCUACCUAUAAGACAGGGAUAACUUCGGGAAACCGGAGCUAAUACCGGAUAACAUGUUGAACCGCAUGGUUCAACAGUGAAAGACGGUCUUGCUGUCACUUAUAGAUGGAUCCGCGGCGCAUUAGCUAGUUGGUAAGGUAACGGCUUACCAAGGCAACGAUGCGUAGCCGACCUGAGAGGGUGAUCGGCCACACUGGAACUGAGACACGGUCCAGACUACUACGGGAGGAAGCAGUAGGGAAUAUUCCGCAAUGGGCGAAAGCAUGACGGAGCAACGCCGCGUGAGUGAAGAAGGUCUUCGGAUCGUAAAACUCUGUUAUUAGGGAAGAACAAAUGUGUAAGUAACUAUGCACGUCUUGACGGUACCUAAUCAGAAAGCCACGGCUAACUACGUG
rnacentral:rRNA from 1 species